UGAGGAACAUGACUUUCGGCGGGGGAUAGCCGGCCCGACGGCCGGGUAAUACCGCGUACGACCUUUUGGGGACAUCCCCGAUUGGUGAAAGCAGCAAUGCGCCGAAAGAGUGCCUCGCGGCCUAUCAGCUAGUUGGUGGGGUAAUGGCUCACCAAGGCGACGACGGGUAGCUGGUCUGAGAGGAUGGCCAGCCACAUUGGGACUGAGACACGGCCCAGACUCCUACGGGAGGCAG
rnacentral:rRNA from 1 species